GACGAACGCUGGCGGCGUGCUUAACACAUGCAAGUCGAACGGAAAGGCCCUGCUUUUGUGGGGUGCUCGAGUGGCGAACGGGUGAGUAACACGUGAGUAACCUGCCCUUGACUUUGGUAUAACUUCAGGAAACUGGGGCUAAUACCGGAUAGGAGCUCCUGCUGCAUGGUGGGGGUUGGAAAGUUUCGGCGGUUGGGGAUGGACUCGCGGCUUAUCAGCUUGUUGGUGGGGUAGUGGCUUACCAAGGCUUUGACGGGUAGCCGGCCUGGGAGGGUGACCGGCCACAUUGGGACUAAGAUACGGCGCAGACUCCUACGGGAGGCAGAAGUGGGGAAUAUUGCACAAUGGGCGGAAGCCUGAUGCAGCAACGCCGCGUGCGGGAUGACGGCCUUCGGGUUGUAAACCGCUUUCGCCUGUGACGAAGCGUGAGUGACGGUAAUGGGUAAAGAAGCACCGGCUAACUACGUG
rnacentral:rRNA from 1 species